UGGACAUGACAAACAGAAUUAUAUAUUUCUAAUAAAAAAAGAUCUAAAAUAUAAUUAUACACAAAAUUUCAUAUAAUUAUAUAGGAAAUACAGAACCCAUCGAUUAAUUACUAAUCUCAAUAAUCACUAAUUAGAAAUUGAAAAAAGAGGCUGACCUUGGAAAUAUUAACAUAUUGUUGCGACCUUUUUUAGCGGAGAGACUAUCAGCUAGAGAUUAACAGACUUGAAUCUCCAAUAUAACUUACUUGCCCAUGGCUGGAGGAAGAGAGCUAGAGGUUAUCAGCUGCAAUUGAAUGGUUAACCGAUUAAGAACAGUGAAACAAUGAUUAUUUAGAACUUAGAAGAGAUCGAAUGAAGAGAUAUUAAGGAAAGGAUGAUUGACCUUAACAACCCAGAGGAGAUUGAGGCCACCGGAGGCUGUCGGCGGAGAGAAGAGAUCGAAUGGGCGACUUCGUCUUCUUUUUCGUCUGCGUCGUUUCCUGACUUUCACCUCUUU
rnacentral:lncRNA from 1 species